rnacentral:rRNA from 1 species
GCGAAAUAGUGAUAUAGAGCAAACCCUAAAAACGGUCUCAGUUCGGAUUGAAGGCUGAAAUUCGCCUUCAUGAAGCUGGAAUUGCUAGUAAUCGCGGAUCAGCAAGCCGCGGUGAAUACGUUCCCGGGCCUUGUACACACCGCCCGUCACACCAUGAGAGUCGGGAACACCCGAAGUCCGUAGUCUAACCGCAAGGGGGGCGCGGCCGAAGGUGGGUCCGGUAAUUGGGGUGAAGUCGUAACAAGGUAAC